rnacentral:rRNA from 1 species
GACGAACGCUGGCGGCGUGCUUAACACAUGCAAGUCGAACGGAAAGGCCCUGCUUUUGUGGGGUGCUCGAGUGGCGAACGGGUGAGUAACACGUGAGUAACCUGCCCUUGACUUUGGGAUAACUUCAGGAAACUGGGGCUAAUACCGGAUAGGAGCUCCUGCUGCAUGGUGGGGGUUGGAAAGUUUCGGCGGUUGGGGAUGGACUCGCGGCUUAUCAGCUUGUUGGUGGGGUAGUGGCUUACCAAGGCUUUGACGGGUAGUCGGCCUGAGAGGGUGACCGGCCACAUUGGGACUGAGAUACGGCCCAGACUCCUACGGGAGGCAGGAGUGGGGAGUAUUGCACAAUGGGCGGAAGCCUGAUGCAGCAACGCCGCGUGCGGGAUGACGGCCUUCGGGUUGUAAACCGAUUUCGCCUGUGACGAAGCGUGAGUGACGGUAAUGGAUAAAGAAGCACCGGCUAACUACGU